GUCCCUGUAGCGCAAUGGAUAGCGCGAUGGACAUCUAAUUCAGAGGUUGUGGGUUUGAAUCCCACUUGGGAUG